rnacentral:rRNA from 1 species
UACGGAGGGUGCAAGCGUUAUCCGGAUUCACUGGGUUUAAAGGGUGCGUAGGUGGGUUGGUAAGUCAGUGGUGAAAUCCCCGAGCUUAACUUGGGAACUGCCAUUGAUACUAUUAAUCUUGAAUACCGUGGAGGUCGACGGAAUAUGUCAUGUAGCGGUGAAAUGCUUAGAUAUGACAUAGAACACCAAUUGCGAAGGCAGUUGACUACGCGAGUAUUGACGCUGAGGCACGAAAGCGUGGGGAGCAAACGGG